ACACUUGCCUCGCCGACCGCCAUUUCACAUCCAGCAGAGGAGGCGGGGGCAGCCGCUGAGACGGUUUUUCACAAGGAAAUGACCUCAUUCUUGAUGGCUGCUGCUAACUUAUGUAUUCCCACGAGCAUUCUGCUGAGAUGAACAAUCAGAUGACCUCGUGUGAGAUUUGGAGGAGAGAAGGAAAUGGAGAGCAUGCGUCUGCCGCUUCUGUGGUUUCUGUCGGUAAGCACAGUGAUGAGGUGCUGAGUUUUCCCCAGAAGGCCUCCCAGUGUCCUAUUACCAGCUUCACAAGCGUCGAGGGCAGGGCAUGGGCAUCUAUUGUUCACCAGUGGAGAUCUAUCUGGCACAGAACCGAUCCAACCAUUGCAGUGGUCACAGCGGUGUUGGCUUUCUGAUUCUCAACCUUCCUGACCGCCAGAGGAGACAGCCUCUUUGGUGGCCCUGUUCUGUGGUAUUGUGCUAACCGGUGGUGGGACUAAAACUGUCUCUAUAAUGUUUUAUUUCU
rnacentral:lncRNA from 10 species